rnacentral:sRNA from 1 species
UACCUUUAAACAAGAAAUCCAGAACAGCACCAAAGGAGUUAAAACAAGAUAAACCAAAACCUAACUUGAACAAUCUCCGGAAAGAAGAAAUCCCAGUACAAGAGAAAACCCCUAAAAAAAGGAUGGCUUUAGAUGACAAGCUCUACCAGAGAGACUUAGAAGUUGCACUAGCUUUAUCAGUGAAGGAACUUCCAACAGUCACCACUAAUGUGCAGAACUCUCAAGAUAAAAGCAUUGAAAAACAUGGCAGUAGUAAAAUAGAAACAAUGAAUAAGUCUCCUCAUAUCUCUAAUUGCAGUGUAGCCAGUGAUUAUUUAGAUUUGGAUAAGAUUACUGUGGAAGAUGAUGUUGGUCGUGUUCAAGGGAAAAGAAAAGCAGCAUCUAAAGCUGCAGUACAGCAGAGGAAGAUUCUUCUGGAAGGCAGUGAUGGUGAUAGUGCUAAUGACACUGAACCAGACUUUGCACCUGGUGAAGAUUCUGAGGAUGAUUCUGAUUUUUGUGAGAGUGAGGAUAAUGACGAAGACUUCUCUAUGAGAAAAAGUAAAGUUAAAGAAAUUAAAAAGAAAGAAGUGAAGGUAAAAUCCCCAGUAGAAAAGAAAGAGAAGAAAUCUAAAUCCAAAUGUAAUGCUUUGGGUAAGCUUGGUCCAAAACACUUAAUUUUAUAAAGGAAAUGUAUGUGGUUUGUUUGCCGUAUUUUUCUUAUUUUUGCCUUUGUUCUCUUUAACAUUUUCCUAACGUCCAUUUCUCGUUA